UCAGGUCGACGGUGUAGCGUAUGAGAAGGGAAGAGAUGGGCUACAUUCACUAACAUAGUGAAUACGAAUAGUAUAUUGAAACAUAUACUUGAAGGAGGAUUUAGCAGUAAGCAGGAAAUAGAGUGUUCUGCUGAAGCCGGCUCUUAAGCGCGUACAUACCGCCCGUCACCCUCGCCAAGCCCUACCAAUUAUUUUUUCUAAAUCACUUAUAAAGCUAAGGAGAGGAAAGUCGUAACAUGGUAAGCGUACCGGAAGGUGUGCUUGGAUAAUC
rnacentral:rRNA from 1 species